UAACCGUUAGCAGAGCUGAGGACGGGAUUUUGGCUAAAAAGCUCGUUAAAAUAAACGUUAGAGCUCAUUCAAAAUCUAAUAUACGGAGUAAAACAGUGUGAAAUAGUGAAUAUUUCCACGUACAAUAUGGAUUUAUGUCAAAUUAUGAUUUCUCUUCACUGUUCGGAAAGAAUGGCACCAGCAUUUGGCAUAAAUUGUUUCUUUAAGUUACUGUCAGUGUAAAGGACGAGGCUGAAGCUGCUUCCUGUUCGCCAGAUUCUUGGUCGAGUUUUCCCGCUGAGAGGCGCCAGAAUGAACCUGCUGCAGGAUUUAAGGUGGAACGGAAAAUUCACAUCAUAACACAGAUGGAAAUUAAGAAGCGGCAGAGUUUAAUAAAAUUACGUUAGUAUAUUGCUACACAGGAGGAGAGGGAGAGAAAGAAGCUGACGGAGACUAACAGGACAGAAGGAGCAGAUCUAAUGGAGGACUUUGCAGCUCAUCUAAGAGAGGAGAGAGCGCUGCUUGACUUCAGUACCUUUGCUUGAUCUGUGCGUGCUGUAAGUGGAUGGAUAUAACGUUAGUGUUUGUUUUAUGACCUCUGUGCUUAACAUAAACUAUGAAGAGACAUCUGCCCUGCAAUGGACUGGCGACCUGUCCAGGGUGUAUCCUGCCUUCCGCCCAAUGACAGCUGGGAUAGGCUCCAGCACCCCACCGCGACCCAGAAGGAUAAGCGGUUUAGAUGAUGGAUGGAUGGAUGGAUGGAUGAAGAGACGGAUCAGAAUAACCAUUUUUGACAUACUCAACACAGCUGAUGUACUUAACAUUUUCUGGCUACCCUAAAAGUGAAUUAUAAACAUUUUGGGGCCAUUAAAAAAAUAUCUUCGGGCACUAUGCCCGCAGACCCCCCUAAUACAGGCUCAGCCCCCCUAUCCAUGAACCUCUAGUGAUGCCCCUGUUUUCUGUAAUUCUGUGCAUAUAUUUAUAAAUGUAUGGUGGAAUGAAAAAGUUCUUCUAUUAAUGAAAAUAAUUGAUACGCAUUUAUUUACUGUGAGAGAUGGUUGUCAGCAUGGUGAAACAAAAGAAUACAAACGUUUUAAACAAGCACUGUGAUCAGUUUUUACAGAUCUAUAUAAAGGUUCAAAAUAUGAACAGAUGUAAGUUUAUUUAAGCAUGAAAUGCAUGUUUAUCUGGAGAAAUUAGACAUUACCUGGUAACACAGUAAGAAUUUGCUGAGCUCAGAUUCAUUGUUUAAAAAUGUUGAGGCCUCUAAGUAAAGCAGAGUUUGUCUGGUAACAGAAUAGUCAGUACGGUUAUUUUGAAGAAAUGACUUAAUGAUUUGUAUGAAUCCAAACAGCUGAACUGAUUCUUUAUACUGAAUGUGUAUCAGAAAAUACAUCCCAGUAGUUCUGUUAAUACUGUGGCGGCUGCCACUGGCUCCGUUUUUUGGAAAGGAGCUUUAGGGGCACUAUAUGCAAAAAGUACAUUGGUUGUUUUAGUCUAAGAUGUGUGUAUGUGAUAUUUUUAAGAGUGACGCUCAUGGGGAAAUGUACACAGGACAAAAUGUAUCUGGGUUAUAACAUUUCUUUUUACCACAGGACACGAAAUAAGCGAUUUUCAAAAAUGGCAUUAAUUGUUCUCAUAGAAGAACUCUGCUUAGACCCGGAAUUCCUAAUAAGGGCAUUACGUCGACUGCCGAAUGACACACAACUUAUAUGGAGAGGAAUUCAUGCCAUAUUAGAAAUGCAAUGAACAGCUGACAUAACUUUUCUGUAGUGACGUAUAAUAGAUGCCAAAAUGAGAAACAAAACCUCUGUUACACUUUUUUAAUGUCGCUUGACCUCUUUACUGAAAAACAAUGCAUGCGGAUUUGCAUUUGAAAAAUAAAAUGCUGAAUUUAUGUCAGAAUUGAAUACAAUCUACCUUAAAAUGUAAUAAAGGCACGACUAUAGUUUUCCACAUUACUACUUUAAACAAAUUUUCCUCAUUGAAAUGCAGUCAUAACUGCAUAACAGUGAAAACAGUGAAAUGCACUGAACACAUGACAUUACUUUUCCAUAGUGACAUGAAGAAUACGUGCCAAAAUUAAAAACGAAACCCCUAUUACACUGUUUUAACGUCGCUUGGUGUUACGGAUCUCCUUUGUUUUCUUCUUUUGCUGUUGUGUUGCGGAUUGCCCUGUACUCUCCUGUGUGUGAAUUUCUCUGCCCUCCCUGUCCAUGUUAGGGUUAGUGCUGGUUAGGUAUGGGAACAGUAUGGGUUAGGAAUAGAGUUGCUUUGGUUAGGCUGGGGCUGAACAUGCUCUGCAGGCUUCGUCUCUGACAGCUCAAAACCAACACAGCAGCCAGCUUUUCUCUGUGAUGCAUACACUCCGAAAAAUCCACACUCCCAAACACCCUCUGACCUAGGCAUAUUUUGGAAUGUACGCAAGCAAAGGUAAAACCUGUGUGGAUAUGAAAUAUAAAUUGCAUUUCACAAUAUGAAACAGCAUUUAAGGGGUAUAAUGAAAAUAUGUAAAACUAAACAAGAUAGAAAGUGGGGAAGAAACAUUUAGGUUGAAGGUCCUGUACACUCAGAAAUAAAGGUAUGAAACUGUCACUAGUGUAGUACCCCUCUUGUCACUGGGGUGGUACCCUCAAGGGUACAUCUCAGUACCUUUAGU